rnacentral:rRNA from 1 species
GACAGAGGGUGCAAACGUUGCUCGGAAUUACUGGGCGUAAAGGGCGUGUAGGCGGGAAGGAAAGUCAGAUGUGAAAUCCCUGGGCUCAACCCAGGAACUGCAUUUGAAACUCCCUUUCUUGAGUGUCGGAGAGGAAAGUGGAAUUCCUGGUGUAGAGGUGAAAUUCGUAGAUAUCAGGAGGAACACCGGUGGCGAAGGCGGCUUUCUGGACGACAACUGACGCUGAGACGCGAAAGCGUGGGGAGCAAACAGG